GAGGCGUUGGACUUCAGUCUAGUCAAGUACUGAUGAUAAUACUGUGGAGCAAAAUAUGGCAUCGGAUGCUGAGUCAUGGGUGAUCGCAUAAUGUUCUGCAAAAGUAUGACCAGAUGCCCAAGGUGCUGCUAUGCCUAUUUCUGUGAUGGGAACAUUUUUGAUGAAGGCUACAGAAGUGGAAACAGAUCUCAUGGUAUGAGUUCAAACUUCAGAUGGACGCUGAAGAUUGCAGGUCAUCUCUAUGAACCAUCAAGGAGCCAUGCCUAGAAUUGGCGAACCUGUAAGUCUGGAUGGCGGAUCUGUCCGGCGUUCUGAGAGAGGAGGUGAAGAAUGAUUGGACCUUCGAUACGAGAGAAAUUGGGAGAAAAGCCAUAAAGGAGACCUGUGUCCCAGUGAAAGAAAAAGGCAUCUCUUAGUGAAUGGUGUCCCAGACGAGGUUUGGAGCAGUACUGAAAGCAUUUUUUGUUUUGGGACAUGGCAAAUAAGUAAAUUUUUGAGACUCCACAAUGCCAAAAUUAAUUGUAGAGAACAGGGUCCAUUUCCCAUUCAUGUUUCUGUGAGAAUCUUCUGCUGAGAGUGUCCACAGUGGUAUUCUCCACACCCAGCAGGUAAGCCGAUGAUAUGAUGCUCUGCCGAAUGCACCAGUUCCAUAGUGUCUCUGCUUCUGCGCAAACGGAUGGUGAUCUCGCUCCUCCCUGGCAGUUUAAGUAGAAUAUACAUGCUAUGUAGCCUGCC